AAGUUUCAACAACGGAUCUCUUGGCUCUCGCAUCGAUGAAGAACUCAGCGAAAUGCGAUAAGUAAUGUGAAUUGCAGAAUUCAGUGAAUCAUCGAAUCUUUGAACGCACCUUGCGCUCCUUGGUAUUCCUCGGAGCAUGCCUGUUUGAGUAUCA
rnacentral:rRNA from 1 species